UACGAAGGGGGCUAGCGUUGCUCGGAAUUACUGGGCGUAAAGCGCACGUAGGCGGCUUCUUAAGUCGGUGGUGAAAUCCUGGAGCUCAACUCCAGAACUGCCUUCGAUACUGGGAAGCUCGAGUCCGGGAGAGGUGAGUGGAACCGCGAGUGUAGAGGUGAAAUUCGUAGAUAUUCGCAAGAACACCAGUGGCGAAGGCGGCUCACUGGCCCGGUACUGACGCUGAGGUACGAAAGCGUGGGGAGCAAACAGG
rnacentral:rRNA from 1 species